rnacentral:SRP_RNA from 2 species
GCCGGACAUGGUGGCGCAUGCCUGUAAUCCCAGCUACUCAGGAGGCUGAGGCAGAAGAAUUGCUUGAGCCUGGGAGGCAGAGGCUGCAGUGAGCCAAGAUCGUGCCACUGCACUCCAGCCUGGGCUACAGAGCAAGACUCCGUCUCAA